rnacentral:tRNA from 1 species
CAUUAAGAAGCUAUACAGCACCAGCCUUUUAAGCCGGAGACGGCGACACUACCCCGCCCUUAAUGA